GGACCAAGGAGUCUAGCAUGUGCGCGAGUCAUUGGGAUUUUUACUAAACCUAAAGGCGCAAUGAAAGUGAAGGUCCGCCUUGCGCGGACCGAGGGAGGAUGGACCGUUCCGAGGGACGGCCUCGCACUCCCGGGGCGUCUCGCUCUCAUCGCGAGAAGAGGCGCACCCAGAGCGUACACGCUGGGACCCGAAAGAUGGUGAACUAUGCCUGGUCAGGACGAAGUCAGGGGAAACCCUGAUGGAGGUCCGUAGCGAUUCUGACGUGCAAAUCGAUCGUCGGAACUGGGUAUAGGGGCGAAAGACUAAUCGAACCAUCUAGUAGCUGGUUCCCUCCGAAGUUUCCCUCAGGAUAGCUGGCGCUCGCUUCUCGCGAGUCUCAUUCGGUAAAGCGAAUGAUUAGAGGCAUUGGGGUCGAAACGGCCUCAACCUAUUCUCAAACUUUAAAUGGGUGAGAUCUCCGGCUUGCUUGAACUGUGAAGCCGCGAGAUAUCGGAUCAGAGUGCCAAGUGGGCCACUUUUGGUAAGCAGAACUGGCGCUGUGGGAUGAACCAAACGCUGAGUUAAAGCGCCUAAAUCGACGCUUAUGGGAUACCAUGAAAGGCGUUGGUAACUUAAGACAGCAGGACGGUGGCCAUGGAAGU
rnacentral:rRNA from 1 species